rnacentral:rRNA from 1 species
GACGAACGCUGGCGGCGUGCCUAAUACAUGCAAGUAGAACGCUGAAGGAGGAGCUUGCUUCUCUGGAUGAGUUGCGAACGGGUGAGUAACGCGUAGGUAACCUGCCUGGUAGCGGGGGAUAACUAUUGGAAACGAUAGCUAAUACCGCAUAAGAGUAGAUGUUGCAUGACAUUUGCUUAAAAGGUGCAAUUGCAUCACUACCAGAUGGACCUGCGUUGUAUUAGCUAGUUGGUGGGGUAACGGCUCACCAAGGCGACGAUACAUAGCCGACCUGAGAGGAUGAUCGGCCACACUGGGACUGAGACACGGCCCAGACUCCUACGGGAGGCAGCAGUAGGGAAUCUUCGGCAAUGGACGGAAGUCUGACCGAGCAACGCCGCGUAAGUGAAGAAGGGUUUCGGAUCGUAAAGCUCUGUUGUAAGAGAAGAACGAGUGUGAGAGUGGAAAGUUCACACUGUGACGGUAUCUUACCAGAAAGGGACGGCUAACUACGUG